rnacentral:rRNA from 1 species
CAGAUGUGAAAGACCCGGGGCGUCAACCUCGGAACUGCAUUUGUAAACUAGGCAAACUAGAGUACUGUAGAGGGGGGUAGGAAUUUCAGGUGUAGCGGUGAAAUGCGUAGAGAUCUGAAGGAAUACCAGUGGCGAAGGCGGCCCCCUCGGACAGAUACUGACACUCAGAUGCGAAAGCGUGGGGAGCAAACAGGAUUAGAUACCCUGGUAG